AUGUACAUGUUUCCGAUUCAGGCCACAAGAUGGCAGACCCUCCAACGCGCACGGUCCCUAUAUUUCGUGUCAUUCACAAUGACGCGCAGAUUUGUCAAAUCUAACCUUUAAUCACAUGACAAUACGAGUCAAGGCACGCGUCUUCGUGAAU